rnacentral:rRNA from 1 species
CGCUGGCGGCGUGCCUAACACAUGCAAGUCGAGCGAGGAGAUCCUUCGGGAUGAUCCUAGCGGCGGACGGGUGAGUAACACGUGGGCAACCUGCCUCAUAGAGAGGAAUAGCCUUCCGAAAGGGAGAUUAAUACCUCAUAACAUUGCAGUUUCGCAUGGAACAGCAAUUAAAGGAGCAAUCCGCUAUGAGAUGGGCCCGCGGCGCAUUAGCUAGUUGGUGAGGUAACGGCUCACCAAGGCGACGAUGCGUAGCCGACCUGAGAGGGUGAUCGGCCACAUUGGGACUGAGACACGGCCCAGACUCCUACGGGAGGCAGCAGUGGGGAAUAUUGCACAAUGGGGGAAACCCUGAUGCAAGCAACGCCGCGUGAGUGAUGACGGCCUUCGGGUUGUAAAGCUCUGUCUUCAGGGACGAUAAUGACGGUACCUGAGGAGGAAGCCACGGCUAACUACGUGCCAGCAGCGGC